UGGGGAAUAUUGGACAAUGGGGGGCAACCCUGAUCCAGCAAUGCCGCGUGUGUGAAGAAGGUCUUCGGAUUGUAAAGCACUUUCGACGGGGACGAUGAUGACGGUACCCGUAGAAGAAGCCCCGGCUAACUUCGUGCCAGCAGCCGCGGUAAUACGAAGGGGGCUAGCGUUGCUCGGAAUGACUGGGCGUAAAGGGCGUGUAGGCGGUUUACACAGUCAGAUGUGAAAUCCCCGGGCUUAACCUGGGAGCUGCAUUUGAUACGUGUAGACUAGAGUGUGAGAGAGGGUUGUGGAAUUCCCAGUGUAGAGGUGAAAUUCGUAGAUAUUGGGAAGAACACCGGUGGCGAAGGCGGCAACCUGGCUCAUGACUGACGCUGAGGCGCGAAAGCGUGGGGAGCAAACAGGAUUAG
rnacentral:rRNA from 1 species